UAAAUAAAUAAAAAAAACAAACGAGCCCUAGGCUCCAACGUUCAUCUCUCUAGCUCAUGAUGAGCUUUCCUUCAAUCAAAAAGGGGAAAAUGCUCUUGCUUUUUGCAUUCCAGAAUUUACUUCACCAAUUCGGUCAAUGAACUUAUUGUUCUUGUCUCCUUCUCCGAAAAUUCAAAACGGUAACUUGCUUUUUCCUAAAAUCUUUUGAUUUUCCUUUUUGUUUUGGGAUUUCUAUCGAAACUAAAACAAAUUUGAAGUUUCAAAUCCAUCCCACAUGCAUCGAGUUGAAACACAAAAACCCUAGCAAUUAGGGUCCUAUAAAUAGAACCCCAUUUCUUCAUUCACAUCACGGUUUUGGACACUUAAAAUGGGUUGUUAUACCCAUAAGAGUAGAAACACUUAGAAACUCGGCUAAACCUAGAGUUUCAAGGAAGUUUCUCACUCAUAGUUAAAUUUUUGAACUCGCUUUCGUUCGUCGGAAGCUUGGUUUGGGUGAAUGGUUGUUCGUCGACUCUCGUCGCCCCCGUCGCUGCUCAACAAAAAGGUAACAUUCUCUCCUUUGCAUUUCUUUUAUUUACAAUUCUUUUAGUAUUUUCAACUUAUUCGUUUCUGUCUAGCUUUGGUUCUUAUUUGUCUAAAUGUUUAAGUUUUGUUAAAUAUUAAUUUUCCUUUCGGGAACAUUGCCCCCCCUUUUUUUUUAAAACUUGUUUAAGCACUCAUAUGUAUGAAUCAAAUCUAACUGCUUUAUUUUAAACUUUUACCCCUCCCUUUAUUUUUAUUGUGUUUGCCUUGGUAUGUUUAUGGCUUUCCAAAUCUGUUUUAUGCUUUCUUAGGUUUUAGUACAUUGGUUUAGAAGGUAUAUAGUUUAAUAUAGCUAAUGGUUGUGUUGGUUCGAAUUUAAGGCAAUUGUUUUAUCUGUUUAAUCCUAAAUGUUGUAUGAUUCAACUGUUGAAAAAUGCCAUAGUUGCAAUCUUUGAUUAGCUCGAACCAAUGUUACUAUAAGGAUUCACAUUCAUAACCGAUGGCUUGUUGCUGUUACAAUGAUUUAUCUAGAUUAUGUUGACUGCCUUGUUUUGUUAGGAUUUCCUAUGAAAAGUGGGCCUUUUUGUCUUGUAAAAUAUGCCUACAACUCCCUGUAAAAUGCAAAAACAAUUCUAGAUAUGAAGUAAUUUGCAGACAGGAAGUAAUCAGAAUAUUUUGUCAAUAGGUCAUAUUUGUUUGGCUCUAAGUUAUGUGGAAGCGUUGUGAGGAUAGAAUAUGAGUAAGCUGCGGUUGAAUGUCAUGUUCACUAGAUAUCAAAAUGUAGUAUAAACAUGUAUACAUUACUUUCUAUUUUGGUAGAAUUAGUUGAUGUGUUAUGGGAGAAAUGUUCUUGUUUCAAAAUGGUUGGGUUGUAUCUGUUCCAACUCCUUUCUUUGAGUCCUAGCUCAAAAUUUCUUUCAAAAAUCUGAGUUUGCACUUAAAGAUUUGGUUUCUCUGCUUUUCACUUUGUAAAUGUUAGACUACAUUUAAGAGGUAUUUGAAGAUCUGUUCAAAGUGUUUAGAUCACUAAAAUACCAAAACAACAACUGAUUCGCCUAGCGAAAAUGUGCCUGCUUAAGCAUUUCAAAUGACCAGACCCUUAUUAGCUUUUCCUGAAGUUUGACAUGUAUUUUUCCUUCUAAAUAAAUUGUAUUUGAGUAUGGAAGUCUGUGUUAAUCCCUAUUCCUAAGUUAAUAUCUCAGUGUUUAUCUAAUUUGGAUUUCUACUUUUUAAGCUAGAGAAGAAAUGGAUAAAUAACCUUAGUUACUCCUCCAGUUCAAGUAAUCAUUUUCGUAUGUUCUGUAAGUUUGAAUUCAUGUGGAUGCAUUUCUAUCCUGGUCCUCCUCUUCAUGUCUAGUGUUUGCAAAGCGUAAAACCAAAUUGUUUCUAAUCAAGUUUGGAUUUCUGUUGAGUUCUCUUCUCAUAAUUUGUAAUCAAAUAGUAAAAUUUAAGUUUUGUCAUACACGUAAUUGGUUGAGAUGGUACUUUUGUUCAAAUAAUAUGUAGCUUGAGUUCAUACCCAAUUAUUUGAUGUUGUGCUAAUCCUCGGUUUUUGGGCAUGAUAUUUAUGUUUAGCUUCUUAUGUUUCUUUUAAAACUGCUUGUUAAAACCUGAGCUUGUAUGAUUUAAACUCAGCAUGGGAUUAUCAUGUUACAUGUUUAAAGUUUGAGCUUCAGUUGUUCUGUUGGUUUUGAGGUAUCAGAUUCUACUUUAAGGUUCUUAAUUUCAACAACAUAUUGGUUCAUUUCCUUUCUUCUUCUUUUUUCUCCACUAAUGUGAAACUUGUUUUAGCUUAACUGGAAAGUAUGCUAAGAAGCUAGAAAAUGUCCUUUCAAAUCUUUGAGUUUAGAACAUGUUAUUGUUCAAUUCUUAACUCAAUAGCCAAGUAGGUUCCUAUAAACCAAGGUUGCAAAUUGUCUAUGAUUGACCAUAUGUUUCUUUUUAUGAUAUAGCAAUCUUUGGCUGAUGAACUUGUUUGUUUGACAAAGCUUCCUGAUUUUACAUAUUAAGUUAGUUAAACAAUGAAUUUGGGCUUGCUUAAGCCAAAAUGUUUUUUUCCUAAUGUUCAAAUCUAUGAGUUUAAAACAUGUUAUUGCAGAAACUUUCAAAUGGUUUCAAAAGAUUGUGAUCUAGUUGUUUAUGCUAGCUUAAGAUAUCCUUAGUUAACUAAAAAAAGAAGAAGAAUGAUUAUGCUGCCUUGAGGGAUCAUUAGCUGACUAGGAGGAAAAAUGUUUCUUCACAAAAAGGGUUGGGUUUUCUCUGUUUGGCUAACCUGGCUUUUCGGUGUUUGGUGAUGUUUUAGACUGCCUCUGUGUUUGAGAUUAUUGAAAUAUGCUUAGUUUUAGAUCUCCUUUUAGCCUUAAUGAUGAAUUAUAAGUCCAGUAAUUCCCCCAUGAAUCCUUGUUCAGUCCUUUCUCCUCUUUGUUAUGUGUUUAGCCUCAACAAUGUCUAUUUGAAUAUUAAAGUACUGAUAUGCUUUUGAUCAAAAUGAAUCAUGUCCAGUGUGGUCUUAAAACACCAGUAAUGGAGAAAAUAUUUGGACUUUCAACUUGCUUGGUCAGUUUUAAAUAUGCUUUGCCUUAACUCUUUUUUGAAAGAAUAAUUAAAUAGGUCAUCAAAUAGGAACAAGAAGCUGUGGUAUGUGCUCAUCUAUUUUUAGACUCUUAAUCUUGAACCCUACAUGAUUGUGUUAACUUAACUAAGUUGUGAUAAUCUUCCAAAACAAAUGAAAUGCUUUUGCGUCGAUGUUUUGUUCAAAUUACUCAUUUCGGGAUACUCAUUCUUUACCAUCUCUUGCUUUGCAUAACUCGAGGGAGAUUUCAAUCUUAAACAUCGUUGAGCUACUGCUGAACCAUUGCUACACUGGGCUACAAAUAGUUGUAUGUUUUAAGGCUAACUGCUCGCUAUAAAUAGUUGCCAUUCUGAGGAAUGUUUUUAAUGCACUUUUGAUCUACUGUUGACCCUUGGAAAACUGCUGCACUUCUGGAAUUCUCAAAGUGUUGUACUUUGACAAAUGAGCUGCUAUAGAUAGGGAAUAGAGGUUUCACUUGAGAUGCCAUGCACAACUACUGCUACACCGCUGCUGUGUUGUUGCCUUUGAGUAGUUGUUGCCCUUUUGGCAAAGUAAAUGCUAUUCUUGUGGAUUGAGCCUUUGUUAUGCUCAGGAUGCUAUCCUAUGUUGCUUCCUUGUUGUUGCUCUGUCGCUGUGCCCAUCUAUUAAGAAAGGUUGCUAUACAUUGCUGGUAUGAUUUGAAACUUACUGAUGUGUUGAGCUGCUGGUUCAUAGCAUUAUACUUCGAAGAAACAAACGCUACACUUGAAAAAUAAAUAUAGCAGCAACUAUAUUUUGAUAUAUUAUUGCUUCUGAUAAGGAACAGAUUGCUGCACUUAAGGUUAAUGAUAUGAACAGAUGCUAUACUUGGGGCCAAUGAUUUUUUUUUGAGGCCAUGCCUUGUCCGGAAAGGUUAUCCCUCGGUUUAGGCGUUAAUGACCUCAUAGUAUUGUCACGAGGAAGGAACGAACAUGCAUUUGGCGCGGCAACUAAAAUGGCCACAAGUUUGCAGCCAAGACAUGUUUCGAAUCCUUUGCCACAUUUGGAAACAUGAGUCUGAGCCUCCGUAAUCAAAGCUCUCAAAGUUUGAUACGAGUCUGAGGGAUAUUAUUAUUAUGUUCAUAAAUGUCACCCUAUGGGGUGGCGUGUUAUUUUGACUAACUACUUUUCCCUUCAAUAUGCGAGGUACAAAUAAACGAAUUUAUGGAGCAACGCUUAAGGACAAAUUAAGAGAGUCGGAUGCUUAGAGCGUUGGAGUGUUGGAGCUUUGGACGAAGAACUGGAAAGAGCAUAGAUGACCUAUUGGAAUAGGAUUGCUAAAAGAUUUGGGUCCAAGGCCAAAAAGCUAAACUUUCUUUCUCUUCCCUUCAUAAUAUGUUUACAUUAGUUUUGUAUAAACAUGUAAAAAAUACAUUUGUGUAGAUAUUGAAACCCUUAUAAGUUAGAACCUAGAAUUAGGUAAAUGAUGCGGAUAGGGACUCGAAUAUGUUUCAAAUUGGACUCGAGAGAUACAUGAGUUAUAUUCCAUUUGUCUAAGAGUAAAUAAAAGUAAGCAAAAUGUUUUCUUAUACAAAAAUUGAUUACCUUUAAGUAAUCUUCAAACUAUAUUUCAUGAUUUAAAGAGUUUGAGAAAAGAAAGUGGAAAAGAAUAUUUAUGGGUAAGUCUUGAGCCUUAAAAUAGUUUUCCAAUGCUUAUUUUGGGUUAGACCCAACUCAAAUGACUGAAAUUUCCUUCAAACCCCAAGUUUGGGAAAAUGGCUUUGGUAGGGAAUAUUGUGACCUUAAACGAGCUAAAAUGAUUAAAUAAGUGAAAUCGUUUUCGUUAUUUAUUCUUAUGAUACUUAUGCUAUUUUCAAGGGAGAAUACUCCAAAUAUAUAUAAGCAUUCAACUCAUGACAUUGGACCAAGUUAGUAGAAACUCUACUUAAGAGAAAAUCUUAAGUGUGUUUUGGUUCAGAAACGAAACGACUUCAACCCUUAUAAAACCUUUUUCCUAAAAAAAUCUCUUUUCCUUAAAGACUUUUUGCCAAAAAAAUGGAGUUAUGAGAUGACGUGACAAUUUUGCAAGAAUAGAAACGUUUUAGCAAAUAAUCACAUUAAUCACACAUUGAAGCUUGAAGGUCAACCGUAUUCUAUGGAUCCUUAAUACUAGGGUGUUUAAAACCUUCCCUAGGGAAUCACCAGAACCCUUAAGUCGAACUCUGGUUAAAAGGAUUUUUUCUUUGUUUGAAUAAACCCUUUUUAACUCGAUUUUCCUAAUUUUCCUUAAUAAAUUAGGUGGCGACUCUAAAAAAUAUAAAAUCCAAUUAGAGUACCAACAACCUCUUAGUAGAUUUUAUGCCUUAACCCACGUAAAAGUGAACCGUAACAGAUGGCGAUUCUGUUGGGGAUUUCCUGGGUUUUAACUAUAAGGGUUUCAAUAUAAUGUGACUUUAAUUGUACUUAUUUGUUUAUGUGUUUAAAUUCCGCAAUUAUAACUGUCAUUCAUUUUACAUCAUAAAUUCCGCCACUCUUGACAAAAAGUAUGAUUUCAAAGGGGACAGGCGGAAUCGCGAUCUAGCCUUAACUAAAAAAACCCGAAACACCUCUUCUUUGGAAUACAUUGAACGUUAAGUUGGUGUACGGUCACCCAACGGCUGACAACGGUUCACCCUGAGUAGUCUACUUGGGUCCAAGGUCAAUUCGAAAAAUCCAUUCUUGCAUAAGCCUAGGUUAGAGCUAAGCCAAAUCCAAAUGUGAAGUAGACUGGGUGGUUUGGAUAUUUUAGACACAUCCUAACCCGAUAGGAAGAAUACUCUGUGUCAAGACGGCCUAUUAACCGAAGACACCGCAUCCAACUAUGUUAAAAUUGAAGGAUGUACAUGCCGUAUACGAACCGUUUGUUCUUGGGGUUGGGACUUUUUACUUUACUUUUUAGACUUCAUCCGAGAGGAGCUCGGAAAGUCCGAGAGACGAUGAAGGACCCCCACGGUGGUUUGGUUUAGGAUUUUUACCCCUGCUUGGGACUGAGAUUUGUUUACCCCAUUCCCUUAUUAUGUAUCCCCGUUCGAUAUUCAUAAAGUUUGGGGCAAACGGGACGUCUUAAUGGCAUCUACAUCCUUCAAAUCUAAUAGGCUUGCCUUGGGCUUAAAAAGGUCAUGAAUGAUUAGGACGUGAUAUAUGUUGUUUAUGUGCUACGUGGUAUGCAAUAUGCAUUUUCAUGCCAAUUUUAUUUAUGUGCUUAAAUACAUCUGAUUUGCUUUGAACAUGAAUGGUCCAUUAUUCAGUUUCGAAGUCCUAGAAUGUCAUUAAGCACGCAAACCCAAAAUUGAACUUUCUCAAAGUUCACCAAAAAUCACUCGAGCUCUCGAAACCUUACAUAAAAGUCCAAAUGUAUCAAAUAUUCUAAGAAAAUACUACCCGGUCAUUGCCAAUUAUCAUUGACCACAUCGUUCCUAAAGUUCGCUUUUCCUACCCAUAAAUUGCCAAAGUUGCACCCGUCAUCGAUAUAUUUUAGUAUUACUCAAUCAGCUAGAGUCAAUCACAACCCGUAAUUUUAUUACUCUAGAAAAGCUUUCCAAAUACAGACCCAUGUUCGAGUACGAAACGCUCGAAUCUUACCGUGUCCAUUUUGUUAGUCUCAAAGUUUACCAAAUGAUCAAAAUCCUGCCCUUUCAGUUAGCUCCAUAGGUCGUUUUUAAAGUCUUCCAUUUCGACUGGAUUCUGGACUAUUAUGUUUCAAGCAAAACAAAUGUUACUUGCUUUAUUUAUUAUGACCAACAGACUAAUGCGAUUACCUUUUGAGUUUUUUCUUUCUUUAUGAUUGACUCGCGGGGACUACCAAAACAUUUUUUUACGAAACUCAAGUCACGAUCUUUUUUAGCCCACCCAUGCGCUACGCUACCUGACAUUUUUUUUACGAAACUCAAGUCACGAUCUUUUUUAGCCCACCCAUGCGCUACGCUACCUGUCCAACAACAUUAAAAUGUAAAAAAAAAAAAAAGAAGUAGUUCGACAACUUUACUAUCCUUGUUCAAACUCCAAAGUGACCCAAUCAAGCAAAAGACUCCUUGCUUUUAUGAAAAUCCAAGCAAAAAGAAACGCACCUUAGGUGACGUCCCUAAAACGACCAUUUAUAUUCCCGCUACCACCUGUCUGUCAUGACGCAUUUAGUGGGAUCAACACGAGUCAAUCAUUUUUCUACUAAAGAAAUUUUUCUGUGAGCACAAGGACAAGAAGGAUACAAGGCGAAGAGCCCCAAACUGGCAUCAAGUCCACAGACCUUGAUCAAAGGUGACGACAUUAUGGAAAGUUGAUAUCAAGAAUCAAGACUAUGAGGCGCUACCUGAAUUUUCGCACCUUAGUCAACACAAGCCAAAACGGCUUUAUUUCUAACUCCUGCUUUAUCGUAUCCUUUGUUUUAUCAUAACAACGUUAUGAUUUUACUACCGAUUGUAUUCGAAUCUUGCAGGAAUCGCACGUCAAUGAGUGAGCGCUUGGUCUAUCAAUCAAGCACGAAGAUACCGCACAAGCGUGCUAAAGAAUAGCACAACAAGACUAAGUGUCAAAGAUCAACGGCACCGCUGGGCCAAUCAUGAUCAUCACAAAGCAGUCGGAGUGGACUUCAAGCCUCCAACGUUGAGCAAACAUAUCAAGGAAAAGCCUAUUCGACGGCACAAGAAGUCGUCAACGACCUUUCUUGACCAUUAGUAGGAGCCAUUUGUUGAAGAGGAAUACCAAACUCUCCAACAAAAAGCAAAGAUCUAAAGAGUAUGGUCGAAGAUCGCCAAAACGAUGGAAAGCGCAGCUUGCCUCUACAAAGAGCAAAGGAUCCAAGACGGUUUUGCAUAUGCCAUUAACUUUUCUACAAGUUUUUUUAAGUUUGUCUAUGGUAACUAGCAAAGCGGCAACGUAUCUACUAACCAUUUUCUGUAAGUAUAGGUCGUACAAGUAUCAGGAGGGACUUUAUACAAUUCAAAAUUCAUAGAGGCAUCAAGAUAAUUGCCAUAUGCUAGAAGGCGAAGACGUAAGCAAUCACAGCCUAAAUCUUUAAAAGGAUGGCAUUUGGCCACCCACAUCAACGAGGCUCAGAGGAAUUAUAAACCAUGUCGAACACAUGCUUUUUGGUAUCUCAAUUUAUGUUUUACUUGGAAAUGGGACUUUGUUACUUGUUUGCCCGCGAGUGGGAUUCUUACAGGAUGCUAAUCACCAAAGUGAAACGCUACCCGAUAAAACGGAAUGCUAGCCACUAGGGUGAGACGCUAAUCGACAAAAUGGGAUGCUAAUCACCAAGGUGAAAUGCUAACCAAAAAAAUGGGAUGCUAGUCACCGAAGUGAGACGCUAGCCAAAUGAAAAUGAAACAAUCAUUUGAAUUGGUUUCCUGCUCUUUUAAAUGGCUUAUCCACCUUUAUGACUUUGCAACUACUACGUUCCAUUUUUCUGCAGAUAAGUUUAUUUUAGAUUUUGCAGUAGUUUCAAAACGCCACAAGGGCGACAAUAUCUAGCCACGAGGGCUGUAAAAUGAGCGAAAAUGCCAUAAGGGCAAUAUCUAGCCACAAGGGCUAUAAAAAGAUCAAAACGCCAUAAGGGUAAAUAUCUAGCCAUGAGGACUACAAAAUGAGCGAAAAUGCCAAAAGGGCGAAUAUCUAGCCAAAAGGGCUAUAAAAGGAUCGAAAAGCCGUAAGGGCAAGUAUCUAGCCAUUAGGGCUACGAAAGAUUAAAACGCCAUAAGGGCAAACAUCUAGCCACAAGGGCCAUCAAAGGAUCAAAACGCCAUGAGGGCAAACACCUGGCCAUAAGGGCCCACAAAGAACAAAAGGCCAUAAUGGCAAAAUCACCGGCCGAUGGGGUCGUAGUGAAACAACACGGCACACCUGACUAAGAGGGUCAUAGCCUGCAUAAAGGAUGAAAUAAAGACAUAUCAGGCCAAAAGGGUCACAAUGAAUGAGCGUAAAGACAUACUCGACCAAAAGAGUCACGACAAAGACAAAAGGGCAUAUUCGACCGCGAGGGUCAUAGCCCACACUACGAACGAAAGAAAGAUCAUCCAGCUGCAAGGAUUAUAUUUGUUAUCUCCAUCAUAUUUCCUAUUUCCAAGAGGGCUAUUGCACGUUUACUUUCCUGCUUCCAAGAGGGCCAUUCAUACAAACUGCCAAGAGGGCCAUUGCAUGUUUACUUUCCUGCUGUUAAGAGGGCCAUUCAUACAAGUAUACCAAGAGGGACAUUCAUACAAGUAUGCCAAGAGGGCCAUUCAUACAAACAUGCCAUUCAUAAAACAUGCCAGAAGGGCUAUUCAUACAAACAUGCCAAGAGGGUCAUUCAUACGAACAUGCUAAGAGGGCCAUUUAUUUCAAUUGCCGAAAGGGCCAUGCAUAUAAACUACCAGAUAUAGUAAGACAUAAAGUGAUGUAAAAUCGGUCAUGAGACUGCAGUAUUCGCCCCCCAAAAAACAAAGCAAUGUAAAAUCGGUCAAAAGACCUCAGUAUUCGCCCAAAAAGCCAAAGCGAUGUAAAACAGGUCAUGAGACUGCAGUAUUAGCACAAAAAGAUAAUGCAAUGUAAAGCCGAUCAUAAGACCGAAGUAUUCUCCCAAAAAAGACAAAGCAAUGUAAAACCGGUCAUGAGACUGGAGUAUUCGCUCCAAAGAUUAGAACGAUAUAAAUCAGGUCAGGCAACCGCAGUAUUCAUUUUCAAAGUCAAUCACGGUGUUACCUAGCAGAUGGGAGCAGGUUAGCAGCCACCAAAGAGAGGAGCAGGCUGACCAGACCAGAACCAGAUGCAUGUGGAGCAAAUGUAGAACUUUUUCUAAGCAGCGAAUCGGGGCACAUUGCAAAAGAGAGGAGAAGACUCGUCGGGUGAGAGUUGAGGAUCACCUUUAACCACCAUCAAAAUACACCCCUGUAGAAGGCAUGUAGGUGUUUUUUUCCGUGUCAAAAUCGCUCCCCAAAAAGGCAAAGGUCGCUAUCUUUGAGUUUCACAUUCAGUGUAAUCUCUGAACCUAAGCUAAGGCACUAUCGAUUUUCAUUUAAAAUCUAGGUGAAGACGAAUUUGAGGUACAUGAAAUUAUGUCAGUGCAAGGACUUAGUUAUGAGUGUGAAGUAUGCCACAUUCAUAGCUUAGAACUUGCAAGCCUCUUUUCCGUACUCAAAGUUUGAAGUCAUCUAUCUCAAACCAAAGGUUACUUCCACAUAAGGAAUACCCUUUUUUAUCGAUGGAGUUGAACUACAUACGGCCUAAUUCACGCAGGUAGGGAUUCGUAGGCAAACUCACUGUCAAAGCUCGGUCGUAAUUCAAACUCCCCCAAUCAUGUCCCAAGCUCCCGAUCUCAUAAAUUUGGCACGAGGGGAAUUUUGAAAGUUUGCAAAAAAAUAAAUAAAAAAUGAGUCGAACUACAAGUGGCCUAAAUUCUCAUGUAGCUUGAGAUAUGUACGAAACCCAAUGCUAGGGUUCCGCCGUAAUUUUCAAAAUCAGCAACACUUUUUUCGAUUAAGAGAUGAGUUGAGUUGGUUGGACAAAAAUCGGGUUUGUCAAAUUUCGUUGCGCAGGGACGGAGGGGAAGCUGUUGACACUCAAUUUUUGCCCUCCAAAAAUUCAAAUUAACUAGUCAAGUCUUGAAUCGCAAACAGAGUGAAAGAAUUAUUCAGAAAAUCAAAAAUACUUUCUAAACCAUUUUUGGUGACAUUUUCACUGUUUUAUUGGCAAAGUGCCCUAAUAUAUAUUAUGUAUAUUUUAUAUAUAAUUUUAAGUAUUAAUUGUGUCUAUUUUAUCAAUUUAAAAUCAAUGCGCACAAAAAACAAGUGUUUGAUUAAGCAAGUAUUUUUAAUUGUCAAAAAUUAAAAUAAUUGUUUUACUUUGUUGAAGUCAAGAAGCUUAAUUAAUUAAUUGAAUAAUAAUUUCAUUUCAAUUUUAGCUCAAAACUGGUUGUAAGGAAUGGUUUUAACUGAAAAGGCAUGAGUUUAAUUUAGCUAUUUUGUUAACGUUUUUGGUGCAAUUGCAACACAAAAGGUUAUGAUUUAAAUUCAAUUUUUGGUCAUCACUUGAAUCCCAAAUUACCUCCUCAAGCCCAAAUCACCCCAACACCAUCGGCCCAAAACAAAUUGACCCGGUCUAUUUUUAAAAAAGGAUAGAACCCCUUUUCAUUUUCCAUAUUUUCCAGAACACACACACCAAAAAAAAAAAAAAACCAAACCAGCCCUAGGCUCCAACGUUCAUCUCUCCAGCUCACGAUGAUCUUUGCUUCAAUCAAAAAGGGCAAAACGUAGUUGCUUUUUGCUGUUCUAGAAUUUGCUUCACCAAUUCGGGCAAUGAAUUUAUUGUUCUUGUCUCCUUCUCCGCAAAUUCAAAAUGGUAACUUGAUUUUUCCUAAAAUUGUAACGACCCGUUUGGUCGUUAUAGUCCUUCCGACAUUUUCGCCCCUUUUCAAGCUUGGUUAGCUCACUUUUGACUCGAGGGAACAGUUGGCACGCUUUUGGAGGUGUCUAGAUCGGAUUCAGACAACUUUUUGGGAAAUAUGGGCUUAAAGUGAAAAAGAAUUGACCCAAAGUUGACUUUUGGGUAAAUGGACUUUUUUCGAAAAUUCGUCAAUUUUGAGAGGUCCGGAUGGUCGCUUAGAACUUAUGUGUAUAUCUGGUUCGGUUCCCAAUGCACUCAGAUGCAUUUUGAGACUUGGAUUGGGAAAUUGGAAUUGAGGUAUCGGGGUUGAUUCAGUCAAGGAGAUCUCCAUUGGAAAUUUUGAGGCCACGAGUGCGUUCGUAGCGUAUUUUUAUGUGGAUUUGUGUAUGUGGUUUCUGAGCAGAUGGCCUCGGGAGUGGUUAAAGAUUUCAAUUGAGCUUACAAAAUUUAGUUGGGUUUCUGGUACUUGGUGUCCGCAUUGGCGGUACCAAUUCUAUUCCAGCAGCAUCGGAUGUUGCGGCAGGGUGACUGUUGAGGCAGCCAACUGCUUUAUGGCCCAGACCAUCCCAGUGGUCUAUGGGAGCGGUGGGGAGGCGUCGAACGGCGGUAACAGGCUCGCUAUUUUAUUAAGUGUGUAUUAAAUAAGCCCUUAGUCUAUCAUUUAUUCCCAUUUCGAAAAUUGAGCUCUUAGGGACUGUUUUAGAAGAUCAUUGGAGAAAACUCUUGGUGUUACGUCUUGCUAAUCCCUUAGCUAAUUCCUUGUUCCUAAUCAUCAUAGAUUCCUCUUUCCCUUACUAGUUCUUUAGUAAUGGAAGAUAAAAGUGAAGAUAAUGAAUGUUCUAUCUAGGCUUAAUAAUGAUGAAAUUGAGUGGGAUUAUGCUAGAUUAUGAUGUAUCUAGGGUUGUUAAUCAAUUACCUUCCAUUAUUAGAGUUAAAUUCUUGAAUCAAAGAGUUAGGGUUUAUACCAAAAUAUUGGGGGUUUUACUUGAAAUUCGAAAUUAGGUGAAUCCAUGAGUUAAAUCAGCAAUUAGUUGUUGUGUUAUGAUCACCUAGUGCUUAAUUUGAUAUUUUACCCUCGAAUUUCCCGUUUUGACCUUGUGGACCCCGUUUCCCCAAAUUCUAGUGUUGGAUUUGACCUAAAUUAAAUGAUAGUAAUAUUAGUAUCAUUCUUCAUGGUUUCUAAUAUAAAUUUCGAA